CCUACGGGUGGCUGCAGUGAGGAAUAUUGGUCAAUGGCCGAGAGGCUGAACCAGCCAAGUCGCGUGAGGGAAGAAGGCCCUACGGGUUGUAAACCUCUUUUGUCGGGGAGCAAAGCGAACCACGUGUGGUUGAUUGAGAGUACCCGAAGAAAAAGCAUCGGCUACCUCCGUGCCAGCAGCCGCGGUAAUACGGAGGAUGCGAGCGUUAUCCGGAUUUAUUGGGUUUAAAGGGUGCGCAGGCGGAGGUGAAAUUCAGCGGUCAAAUUGCGGGGCUCAACCCCGUACUGCCGUUGAAACUGGAGGCCUCGAGUGGGCGAGAAGUAUGCGGAAUGCGUGGUGUAGCGGUGAAAUGCAUAGAGAUCACGCAGAACUCCGAUUGCGAAGGCAGCAUACCGGCGCGCAACUGACGCUCAUGCACGAAAGCGUGGGUAUCGAACAGGAUUAGAUACCCGGGUAGUC
rnacentral:rRNA from 1 species